GACGAACGCUGGCGGCGUGCUUAACACAUGCAAGUCGAGCGGUAAGGCCCUUUCGGGGGUACACGAGCGGCGAACGGGUGAGUAACACGUGGGUGACCUGCCCUCAGCUCUGGGAUAAGCCUGGGAAACCGGGUCUAAUACUGGAUAUGACUCCAUGACGCAUGUUGUGGGGUGGAAAGCCUUGUGCGGCUGAGGAUGGGCCCGCGGCCUAUCAGCUUGUUGGUGGGGUGANGGCCUACCAAGGCGACGACGGGUAGCCGGCCUGAGAGGGCGACCGGCCACACUGGGACUGAGACACGGCCCAGACUCCUACGGGAGGCAGCAGUGGGGAAUCUUGCGCAAUGGGCGAAAGCCUGACGCAGCGACGCCGCGUGAGGGAUGACGGCCUCGGUCGUAACC
rnacentral:rRNA from 1 species